rnacentral:rRNA from 1 species
AUUGAACGCUGGCGGCAGGCCUAACACAUGCAAGUCGAGCGGAGCGGCGGACGGGUGGUUAAUGCCUAGUAAUUUGCCUGUGAGUGGGGGACACAGUCUGGAAACGGACGCUAUUACCACAUACUUUCAGAUGAGCCUAGGUGGGAUUAGCUAGUUGGAGGGGUAAUGGCUUACCAAGUCGAUGAUCCGUAACUGGUCUUAGAGGAUGAUCAGUCACACUGGGACUGAGACACGGUCCAGACUCCUACGGGAGGCAGCAGUGGGGAAUAUUAGACAAUGGGCGAAAGCCUGAUCCAGCCAUGCCGCGUGUGUGAAGAAGGUCUUCGGAUUGUAAAGCACUGUAAGUUGGGAGGCGUUACCAACAGAAUAAGCACCGGCUAACUACGUGCCAGCAGCCGCGGUAAUAC